AAUCCAAAAUUCAUUUAAGUGUAUAUGCUGAUGAUAGCACAUAUUUAGGUAUUUUUCAGAAUUGAUGGGGGUCCAAACUUUGACAUAUCUCCAGUCUUAACAUCAAUUUAGCUUCUUUUGGAUAAUACUGAAUCCCAAUGGCCCUGUCAUCAGCCAGGAAGCUUAUCAGGAAAACAAGAGUUAGAGAAAUUUGGGCCAUUUUAAAAAAAGUUUUUCAUUAGUACAUGCAUGGAGUAGGCCAUUGGUAAGCUGGAAUGAAUCAUAAUAGACAAAUGUUCUGUUAAUCUUUUUCAUUGUGUAAAAUUUGCCUUAGUAGAAAGGCUAACAAAUUUUAAGUGCCACAAGAUUUAAGUAUUCUGCAGAAAAAAAUUCUUUUUAGUUUUAUUGCAUAGUGUAAGCUGAAUUACCACUGGAUAAAUCUGUAAUAUAUCUUGUUUGUAUUUUCCCCAGUGUAUAGUGUUGGUGUGUUCUCAUAAUAUAUAGAAAAUCUACCAAAAAAAUGUAUACACACGUGAGCAGUUUGCCAUACAGUAAAUGUCUGCGAGCUCAUGGCCACCACGUAGGAAGAGGAUGGAGUUAUGGAAAUAGAACGGCAACCCCUGCAGCCCUAGGUGAAUGGCAGUGUGGCUGAAGCUGCUGAGGAAGGGAUUCUUCAAAGUGAAGUUCAACGUUCUCAGCGACGAGGACUCCGCCAUUUGACAUCCAAUUUAUUUGGUUUAACUGAGGCUGUGUAACCACUCACAAAUGAGUAAAGAAAAAGCCUUACCUAACAAUACAAAGUCCAAACCUGGUUCCUGCCAUGGCCUAACUUGGCUGGUAAUGGGGAUGAGGCUUUGGGGGCCAGGGGGGCCAAAGCUGGAAAACCACAGGGCAGAACCCAGCGUCUGACACAUGAACAAGAGGCUGGACUCACCUGACGUGCUAGGGAAAUGGGAGGCAGGGCAGCAGUGCUCUGGCACUGAACCUUGAGAGGUCGGUCAGUGGACAGAACCUGACAGCCCCAUUUCCUCCCCACCCACCGCUGCUCACUGUCCCUGUGGACUUGCCUCCCAUGCCUCCUGACAUGCCCUGCUCAAGGAAAACUGGGUCUCUUGGCAGCUGUGCUGUGCAUGAGACCUCAAGAACACGUUAAAGUACUCCACCCCUUUCUGUAUAAAAGAAGGCACCUUAAUUCAACUGAUCAGGGUUAGACAGGGCUUGCUUGUAAAGGAAACAGAAAUUAGUGGGCCCCUUGGGGCUACAGAGCUCAGCUGGCAGGUAUUAGAAUGGCAGAUUAAAACAGUCAAAAUAAAAGUCAAGGCACUUUCUGAAUGAAAUAGGGCAGACAAGAGGCUAAACCAGAGAAAGCACCAACUCCCUCUUCUGUUUUCCCCUCAGGAAGGGUACACGUGGUCCAGAGAUCACCACAGACAGGCCAUCUUCUCUGUGCUCUGGGAGCUCUGCAAAAGCCCUUGCAGGGUUAGGGAUGGGCAGCAGAGUACCAAACAGGAGGGGGAAGUGUCUUUACCCACACCCAGCAGGUCUCAGCAGAGGCAGCCAAGCAAGGCCUCUGUCCAGGUCCCUUGCUCACAGCCCUCUGGCUGCAAACAGUUCAGGAACACAACCCAGGUCCAAGUACCUGGUUCUGGAACCUUCUCUACUGUCUGCCUCUAUAGUUCUAUUAUUUAACAAAAUUAAAGAUCAAGAUUAAUCUUU